rnacentral:rRNA from 1 species
CAGUCGCCGCGGUAAUACAGAGGAUGCAAGCGUUAUUCGGAAUGAUUGGGCAUAAAGCGUCUGUAGGUGGCUUUUCAAGUCCACCGUCAAAUCCCCGGGCUCAACCCUGGACAGGCAGUGGAAACUACCAAGCUGGAGUACGGUAGGGGCAGAGUGAAUUUCCGGUGGAGCGAUGAAAUGCGUUGAGAUCAGAAAGAACACCAACGGCGAAAGCACUCUGCUGGGCCGACACUGACACUAAGAGACGAAAGCUAGGGGAGCAAAUGGGAUUAGAUACCCCCGUAGUCCCUGUCUCUUAUAC